rnacentral:misc_RNA from 1 species
GCUAAAGGGAAGAAAAUAAGUGGGUCAUCAUUGGAAGGGCGGAAUUUUAGUUCUAGCUCUGGCAUCUCAAUUUCUGAUUCAAGAAGAACCAGAAGUGGGCCUUCCAACUGGGACAAUGGUCCUGCAUCAGUUAGGACUCGAACAUCACUAGGAUACACUAGGACAAGGGUUGCUGAUCAAGAAAGUGGGAAUAAUCUAUCACCAAAUGAACCCCAUGUAAUCCCACGAAUGUCUCAGCCUAUUUUGCCAGUUGGUUCAAAUUCUCCUACUACAUCUCAUCAAUUCUCUAUGGAAUCGUCC